GACACGUGGUAUCCUGUCUGAAUAUGGGGGGACCAUCCUCCAAGGCUAAAUACUCCUGACUGACCGAUAGUGAACCAGUACCGUGAGGGAAAGGCGAAAAGAACCCCGGCGAGGGGAGUGAAAAAGAACCUGAAACCGUGUACGUACAAGCAGUGGGAGCACGCUUAGGCGUGUGACUGCGUACCUUUUGUAUAAUGGGUCAGCGACUUAUAUUCUGUAGCAAGGUUAACCGAAUAGGGGAGCCGAAGGGAAACCGAGUCUUAACUGGGCGUUAAGUUGCAGGGUAUAGACCCGAAACCCGGUGAUCUAGCCAUGGGCAGGUUGAAGGUUGGGUAACACUAACUGGAGGACCGAACCGACUAAUGUUGAAAAAUUAGCGGAUGACUUGUGGCUGGGGGUGAAAGGCCAAUCAAACCGGGAGAUAGCUGGUUCUCCCCGAAAGCUAUUUAGGUAGCGCCUCGUGAAUUCAUCUCCGGGGGUAGAGCACUGUUUCGGCAAGGGGGUCAUCCCGA
rnacentral:rRNA from 1 species